GGAUUACAGGCGUGAGCCACCGCGCCCGGCCUAAUAAAGGACAAUUUUUAAUAGCCACUGGACUAUUUAAGUGAUCUCUUCUGUCAGUUUCUUUUACCAUCAGAGGACACAGCAGCAAGGUGCCAUCCUAGAAGCAGAGAGCAGACCCUUACCAGACAACCAACCAGCUGGUGCCAUGAUCUUGGACUUCUCGGCCUCCAGAACUGCACUUAAACACGCAGCAUGAGGAAAAUGGAACAACAAUCUUGAGGUGCCUUCUGAAUCAUCAGAUUAAAUUAUGCUUCCAACACCACACCCUCCUGAUCACCAUAGCUUUAUGCAACAACAAGAAACAAAUUUAUUAGCUAACCUAACCACUAAUGACGCAAGAGACAAUUCUAAGGACUUUCAAAACAGCAAAGUAGGAGCAGCUGCUACCUCUAGGGAUGAGGGAUGCAAUUGUCCAAUUAUUGGUGAAAUUGUCAUUUCAUGCUAUUGGCUAUUUGAAAUUCCUCCUCUAAUUUCAGAAUAAAUCACUGAAAUUGACAUCGGCCAGUCUGAAUUUCAAGAAAUUACCUGCUGAAGACAAGAGGGAUCUCUUCUUCAGAUUUGCAGUCUGGGGAAGACACAGCCUCUACUGUACUUUAGAACCUGAGAUAUGGUGGUGGAGGGAGCCCUGGGUCGAGUGGUAAGAUUCACCCUUAGGUCAGAGCUCCGGACUCCAGCCCCAUGCAACUUCAAAAUAUGACAAAUGUCUUGAAGGGGAGAUUGGCAUGCAGAUGAGGAAGGCCCUCUCGCCAACACAUUUGUAUUUCCUCUGUACUGUGAGACUGUGGGAGAUUUACUGCGACAUUUAGAAGCUUUCUUCCAAACUCCUGGGCCUCCGACACUGGUUCUAAACUCAGCAAAUGUUCUUUGGGAAAAACAGACAGUGCAUGUGAGGCCCCUCGAGUUUGGAAUUUAUGUCUCCAGCUUCACAUGGUCUCUCAAGUGCUUAUGCUUUUCUUCUCUCUGCCACCCACAUUCCCACAUCCCGCCCACCCCCCAACUUUCCUCCCUUCACCUUCCCAUGGAGACUUUUUGCCUGGGCUAAAUCUGAUCCUCAGCCCACUCUCAGAAUCGAUAAAUGCCCCUAGGUGAUUGUAAGCUCACCUAAGAUAUACUUUUUCUCCUCUAGAAUUUUAGUUUAUUAGAUUUUUCUAGUUGUCUUUGCAAAAGCGUUAACAGGCUCUGACUUCUGACAUUCAACUAGAUGUGGAAUAUCCAACCCCUAGCAUUUCAUGGAAUGUACUGACCAAGAUAAAAUGUGUUCUUAUUAAACAAUGCCAUUUCUUGACCACUUCUGUUUUUAGGAAUUGUGGUAUCUGAGUCAUGGUGAUUAGAAGUACUAAUGAAAUAAAUGGGAAAAUUAAACUUCUACUAACAUUUCAUAUAGUAGGGAGAUGUCUGUGAAGAAUUAUAACUGGUACAGAUUUUGUGUUUAUAAACAAGGAGACAGAAAAUGCAGAAAAUAAAAAAUAUUUUAUUUAGUUUUAAA
rnacentral:lncRNA from 1 species